AUUGAACGCUGGCGGCAGGCCUAACACAUGCAAGUCGAGCGGAUGAAGGGAGCUUGCUCCUGGAUUCAGCGGCGGACGGGUGAGUAAUGCCUAGGAAUCUGCCUGGUAGUGGGGGAUAACGUCCGGAAACGGGCGCUAAUACCGCAUACGUCCUGAGGGAGAAAGUGGGGGAUCUUCGGACCUCACGCUAUCAGAUGAGCCUAGGUCGGAUUAGCUAGUUGGUGGGGUAAAGGCCUACCAAGGCGACGAUCCGUAACUGGUCUGAGAGGAUGAUCAGUCACACUGGAACUGAGACACGGUCCAGACUCCUACGGGAGGCAGCAGUGGGGAAUAUUGGACGAUGGGCGAAAGCCUGAUCCAGCCAUGCCGCGUGUGUGAAGAAGGUCUUCGGAUUGUAAAGCACUUUAAGUUGGGAGGAAGGGCAGUAAGUUAAUACCUUGCUGUUUUGACGUUACCAACAGAAUAAGCACCGGCUAAAUUCGUGC
rnacentral:rRNA from 1 species